GAUGAAGAACGUAGCGAACUGCGAUAAGUAAUGUGAAUUGCAGAAUUCAGUGAAUCAUCGAGUCUUUGAACGCACAUUGCGCCCCCUGGCAUUCCGGGGGGCAUGCCUGUCCGAGCGUCAUUGCUGCCCUUCAAGCCCGGCUUGUGUGUUGGGUCGUCGUCCCCCCCGGGGGACGGGCCCGAAAGGCAGCGGCGGCACCGCGUCCGGUCCUCGAGCGUAUGGGGCUUUGUCACCCGCUCGAUUAGGGCCGGCCGGGCGCCAGCCGGCGUCUCCAACCUUUUAUUUUACCAGGUUGACCUCGGAUCAGGUAGGGAUACCGCUGAACUUAAGCAUAUCAAUAAGCGGAGGA
rnacentral:misc_RNA from 1 species